CAGCGGGAUAACCCGGAGAAAUCCGGCCUAAUACCGCAUGUGGCCGAGGGGAGGCAUCUUCUUUCGGCCAAAGGAGGCGACUCCGGAGACGGAUGGGCAUGCGUGACAUUAGCCUGUUGGCGGGGUAACGGCCCACCAAGGCGACGAUGUCUAGGGGUUCUGAGAGGAAGGUCCCCCACACUGGUACUGAGACACGGACCAGACUCCUACGGGAGGCAGCAGUGAGGAAUAUUGGUCAAUGGGCGAGAGCCUGAACCAGCCAAGUCGCGUGAAGGAUGACGGCCCUACGGGUUGUAAACUUCUUUUGUCAGGGAGCAAUUGGGUCCACGUGUGGGCUUAGCGAGAGUACCUGAAGAAAAAGCAUCGGCUAACUCCGUGCCAGCAGCCGCGGUAAUACGGAGGAUGCGAGCGUUAUCCGGAUUUAUUGGGUUUAAAGGGUGCGUAGGCGGAAUAUCAAGUCAGCGGUAAAAAUUCGGGGCUCAACCCCGUCGUGCCGUUGAAACUGAUGUUCUUGAGUGGGCGAGAAGUAUGCGGAAUGCGUGGUGCAGCGGUGAAAUGCAUAGAUAUCACGCAGAGCUCCGAUUGCGAAGGCAGCAUACCGGCGCCCAACUGACGCUGAAGCACGAAAGCGUGGGUAUCGAACAGGAUUAGAUACCCUGGUAGUCCACGCAGUAAACGAUGAAUGCUAAUUGUCCGGAGGGAUUGACCUCUGGGUGAUACAG
rnacentral:rRNA from 1 species